GACUGGAGGAGAGGAUGCCUGUGAGACAAGGUGUAAGAUCACAUGAGGUGAUAUAGCCAAAUCAUAUAAAAAACUCCAGGGUCUUUGGGCAAUUCACUCCACUGGCUCUUUUCUUUCCUUGGCUAUAAGGAAAAAGGGUUUGCUGAGAGGAGGAGAAGGUGACUGUGUAUAAGGGACAGCCCACAAGGAUGCUGUGAGAGACUCUGCUGGAGGCUCCACUCCGUUGUGGCACAUGGAAGUUUCCAUGGGAAGUACCCAUCUCGCCCCACCCACUUGGUUUCACACUGUAUACAGUGCUGAAGACAGUGCUGGCAUUUCAGCGUGAACACUAAGCGGUGACUCAGAGCCAACAGAAGUGUGGACCGCUGUUUACUCAAAAGGAAGCCUUUGGUGUGACAAAUUAGAGUGGGCUGCUACAUUGUGCAGGACUUAUGAGCCAAACAGCUUGGAAAUAGCACAUACCACUGCGGCAGGUGUCAAAGGGCUUCCCCUCAGAAGGACCAGAAGUCCAUCUUGCAUCUGGAACUGGUUAGGAAGGAGGCUGGCAUGUCACCAAACCCAUCAUCCUAUCUACCAAGAGCUCACAAAAGGAAGGAACUGGAAGGAGAAGGCUCAACAAUAAUACAAGCUGAAUGGCCUCAAAGAAAGAACACUGGAAGGCAGGCAGUAAAGAAGUGGAAACUAGGAUUUUCU